rnacentral:misc_RNA from 1 species
UAGGCUGCUAUGCCCAG